CAGGAAAUGGAGAAUGGGGCAGAAGGUGGAGGGGAAGAGGUAACCGCCGGCCCAAGGUGCCUGAUUGGCUGAGGUGCACCCAGGAGAAUUGGCCAGCUGCGGAGGCGAGGCGGCGGCGGGCUCGGCUGCGGCUGGUCUGGCCACAGAGCAGGCUGUCACAGAGAUAAAAGCAGCAAGGUUGAAUCAAACCCUGAACAGGAAUAGACAGAGCUAGAAGUGUAUGUCAAAGAGAGCAAUGCAAGGUAGAGUCCAGCUGACUCCUUGGUUUCCAGGGAAUCUGAAGGCAAUGGAGCAGCACAGACAACAGCUAGCAUGACAAUGAAGAGGGG